rnacentral:rRNA from 1 species
GAGUUUGAUCCUGGCUCAGAACGAACGCUGGCGGCAGGCCUAACACAUGCAAGUCGAGCGAGGACUUCGGUCCUAGCGGCGGACGGGUGAGUAACGCGUGGGAACGUGCCCUUUGCUUCGGAAUAGCCCUGGGAAACUGGGAGUAAUACCGAAUGUGCCCUACGGGGGAAAGAUUUAUCGGCAAAGGAUCGGCCCGCGUUGGAUUAGGUAGUUGGUGGGGUAAUGGCCUACCAAGCCGACGAUCCAUAGCUGGUUUGAGAGGAUGAUCAGCCACACUGGGACUGAGACACGGCCCAGACUCCUACGGGAGGCAGCAGUGGGGAAUCUUAGACAAUGGGCGCAAGCCUGAUCUAGCCAUGCCGCGUGAGCGAUGAAGGCCUUAGGGUUGUAAAGCUCUUUCGUGGGGGAAGAUAAUGACUGUACCCCAAGAAGAAGCCCCGGCUAACUCCGUGCCAGCAGCCGCGGUAAUACGGAGGGGGCUAGCGUUGUUCGGAAUUACUGGGCGUAAAGCGCACGUAGGCGGACUGGAAAGUCAGGGGUGAAAUCCCGGGGCUCAACCCCGGACUGCCUUUGAACUCCAGUCUUGAGUCGAGAGAGGUGAGUGGAUUCCGAGUGUAAAGGUGAAUUCGUAGAUAUUCGGAGGAACACCAGUGGCGAAGCGGCUCACUGGCU